rnacentral:lncRNA from 1 species
GCCACUUUGACAAUUUGGCCUGAUUUUCAACUAAGUAUGGAUGGAUUUCUUGAUUGGGCUGGGAAUUUUCUUAUUGGGCCUUGCCCUCAAGAAUUUGGGCUUGUGAUCCAUCUCCUACCGAAAUUGAAUCGUUGAUGCUCGUAAUGGAGAUCCAAUGCGCUUUGGCUGCAAGAUUUGGUGUCUUGGACCAAGAUUCCCAAUAUUUGAAAUCUUGAUUUUCCCUUUCUUUUGUGUACGCAUCUAAGGCCUUACUAACAAACUCCUAGAUGGUCCCAUUUAGUUUGGAACGCAUUUGUCGGGCCUUUGAUCUCGUAUCAUUCCCCCCUUCCUCAAAAAGAUUCGUCCUCGAAUCUGAAAAAUCAAAUGGGGACAAGUCAACCACAUUAAAAGUAGAACUUACAUUGUACUCACCAGGUAGAUCAAUUUUAUAGGCAUUAUCGUUGAUCCUCUCGUGUACUUGGAAAGGCCCAU